rfam:Myotis brandtii contig320409, whole genome shotgun sequence.
GGUAGUUCUCAGGUGACGGACCCCGGAAUCAAGUCUCUCCUCUCUGGUUCUGGGUGUGUCACCUGAGAACUGCA